AACGAACGCUGGCGGCAUGCCUAACACAUGCAAGUCGAACGAAACCUUCGGGUUGAGUGGCGCACGGGUGCGUAACGCGUGGGAACCUGCCCUUAUGUUCGGAAUAACUCCCCGAAAGGGGUGCUAAUACCGUAUAAUUUCUUCGGACCAAAGAUUUAUCGCCUUUGGAUGGGCCCGCGUUGGAUUAGCUAGUUGGUAGGGUAAAAGCCUACCAAGGCGACGAUCCAUAGCUGGUCUGAGAGGAUGAUCAGCCACACUGGGACUGAGACACGGCCCAGACUCCUACGGGAGGCAGCAGUGGGGAAUAUUGGACAAUGGGCGAAAGCCUGAUCCAGCAAUGCCGCGUGAGUGAUGAAGGCCUUAGGGUUGUAAAGCUCUUUUACUCGGGAUGAUAAUGACAGUACCGGGAGAAGAAGCCCCGGCUAACUCCGUG
rnacentral:rRNA from 1 species